rnacentral:rRNA from 1 species
UGGGAAUAUUGGCACAAUGGGCGCAAGGCCUGAUGCCAGCGACGCCGCGUGAGGGCAUGACGGCCUUCGGGCUUGUAAAACCCUCUUUCACCAGGGACGAAGCGCAAGUGACGGUACCUGGAGAAGAAGCACCGGCCAACUACGUGCCAGCAGCCGCGGUAAUACGUAGGGUGCGAGCGUUGUCCGGAAUUACUGGGCGUAAAGAGCUCGUAGGUGGUUUGUCGCGUUGUUCGUGAAAACUCACAACUCAAUUGUGGGCGUGCGGGCGAUACGGGCAGACUAGAGUACUGCAGGGGAGACUGGAAUUCCUGGUGUAGCGGUGGAAUGCGCAGAUAUCAGGAGGAACACCGGUGGCGAAGGCGGGUCUCUGGGCAGUAACUGACGCUGAGGAGCGAAAGCGUGGGGAGCGAACAGGAUUAGAUACCCUGGUAGUCCACGCCGUAAACGGUGGGUACUAGGUGUGGGUUCCUUCCUUGGGAUCCGUGCCGUAGCUAACGCAUUAAGUACCCCGCCUGGGGAGUACGGCCGCAAGGCUAAACUUAAAGGAAUUGACGGGGUCAUAGCUG